rnacentral:rRNA from 1 species
UACGUAGGGUGCGAGCGUUGUCCGGAAUUAUUGGGCGUAAAGAGCUUGUAGGCGGUUUGUCGCGUCUGCCGUGAAAUUUCGGGGCUCAACCCCGAACUUGCGGUGGGUACGGGCAGACUAGAGUGUGGUAGGGGAGACUGGAAUUCCUGGUGUAGCGGUGAAAUGCGCAGAUAUCAGGAGGAACACCGGUGGCGAAGGCGGGUCUCUGGGCCGGUACCGACGCUGAGGAGCGAAAGCGUGGGGAGCGAACAGG